GCUUGGGGACCCGGCGGCAGCUCAGAUCUCCAGGUGUCCCGAGGCCUCGCUGACGCCGGAGAGGGUGCCCCUGCUUUUUUCCGUUUGUUGGCCAUUGUUACUAAGACCUGCUUUUUCUACUGAGACGAAGUGCCUGUUAAAGUGCCUAUUUUUUUGUUGCCUAUUAUUGGUUCUACCGAGACUCAAUUGGUUCUCCUUAGACUGCCGAUUGGCUGAUGGCCCCGUCAAUCUCCAGGGGAAGAACUAGUUUUCAGACACCUGGGGAAAGUAUUACUUCUAGCCCCUUCUUGCUGAAAUGAAGGGUUCUGGAGAAAACCCAAGAGAUUAGGUGAAGCAGAAGCCUGAGAACCGUGUUUGGGGACCCACCACGGAAAAGCAUUGUAUGAAAUAAUGACACUCUCUGACUUCCCUCCUUUGGCUGCUCUGCUCUGCUCUCGGCAGCCCUUGCAUCCACAGAGCCACUGAAUGGCAAGCAAUGAUUCUAGCCCAACGUUUGUAAACUUGAGGUUCGCAGGCUGUAUGUGGCCAACAGAGAUAAAAAUGGAAGAAGAGCGCAUUUCCCAACACUUCCAAUAACCCAGUGCUAUGGACUGAAUUGUGUACCCCUCAAACUCCUAGUGUGAUGUUCACAGGAAACAUCCUGACCAGGCCCACCUGUGAAUGACUGCAGGAAGGAAGAAAUUAACACAUCCCCUCCGGAAGCUGACCAGAAGCAGGAAAUGUUUGACUUUACUGCCUCCCCUUUUAGUGUAAAAGAAGCCUGAAUUCUAAUUAUGGCAAGAUGGUUCUUUGGGACAUGAGUCUACCAUCUUCUUAGUCUACCAGUUUUCCAAAUAAUGUUGCUAUUCUUUGCCCGAACAUCUCGUCUCUCAACUGAUUGGUCUGUCAUGUGGUGAGCAGUAUGAGCUUGGACUCGGUAAGAUUUGGGCAAGUCAAUCUUUUGACAUCGUUUAGGCAGCACCCCAGUUCUUUGGGAAAUUGAAAGCAACUGUCUUUGUCUUGCAAGUAUUUGCAAGAUCAGAAUAAACACAGCCCAAAAUGGCCUGAGACUGAGCCUAGUUAACUCAAUCAGGUAGAACCUGAAAUCUAAAGGGAGGAAAAAAAGGAGGGAAAGAAGCCUUUUUAAAAGUAAAAACUACUGGCACCCAGACAUAUUGUAAUUAUUCCAUUUGUAUGAAAUAUCCAGAAUAGGCAUAUCCAUAGAAAGCUCAUUAGCAGUUGCCAGGGACUGAGUGGGAAAUGGAAAGCAAUUGCUAAUGGAUACAGGGUUUCUUCUUGGGGUGAUAGAACUAGUGGUGAUGAUUGUACACCUCUGUGAAAAACCACGGAAAUGUACACUUUAAAAGGGUGAAUUUUAUGGCAUGUGAGUUAUAUCUCAAUAAAAAUUACAGCAUUCAUGAGAAAAAAGAUGUUUUGUGUAUAUAUAUAUAUAUAUAUUUACAAUGGAAUACUACUCAGCUAUAAAAAGAUGAGAUCUUGCCAUUUGCUAUGACAUGGAUAGACCUUGAGGAUAUUAGGCUAAGUGAAAUAAAUCAGACAGAGAACAACAAAUACCGUAUGAUUUCACUCAUAUGUGGAAUAUUUAAAAAGUAAUAUAAAACCAAACCAAACAAAAACAAACUCAUAGAUAACGAGGCCAAAGUACUGGUCACCAGAGGGAGAGUGAAAUGGGUAAAGGGGACCAACUGUAUGGUGAUGGAUGGAAAGAAAACUUUUGGUGGUAGGUGCACUGUAAGUGUAUACAAAAGUUGAAACAUAAUGUUGUACACAUAAAACUUCUAUUAUGUUAUAAACCAAUGUUCAAUUUUAAAAAAUCUUUCUGAGGUCUUUAAAAAAAUAAAUUAUGUUUGAUGACAUGUCUAUGUAGUUUCUCCAAAUCUUUUUGGUAAUUUAAAACUUUAGAGUAUUUCUAAAGUAAGCUAAAUGAUGGAAGUUUAUUGAAUAUCCAGAUCAUUUCCAAAUAAGAUAGAAUAAUUAAUUGUUGAGCAUGUCUAAGUUAAGCAUAGUUAAUUAAUUGUUGAGCAUGUCUAAGUUUAACUACUUUUAUCUUCUUAUAAGAUUAAGAAGCCAAAGAUGUUUGGGUUUAUCCCAUACAUCUUGUACCACAUUAAGGAGAGAAAUUAUGCUAUGAGAAAAUCUGUGUUUCUAGAGGUUGUGGAGUAUGUUCAUAAGUUUUCCAAUCAGGAAAUGCUAGUAUGACAGUUCACAAUUGCUUGCUUCUUGGUUUUCUCUAGAGAUUAGGGGUUUUAAGAAUACAAUUAAUACAUAUAAUUGGGACUACUAAAAUUAAUAAGGAAAACAUCUUCAUAUGCAACAGAAAAAAAGAGUUUAAGGAUCGUAAAUGCAUUUUGUUAAGGGAAAAGAAAGUAAUUUUGUCCUAAGAGAAGUUAAACAAUAGAGAAAAGGGGAAAGCAUGGGACAAAAUCUGAAGGUAAAAAAGGAAGUUACAGGUUUGUGGAACAGAAUCCCUGAGAAAAGAGUUUUGUAUGUGAUCAGGACUGGCUAACACUGGAAUAAAUUUAAUUGAGUGAAUAAGUUUUAAUAUUAAAAGUAAGCUGGUACAAAAGUAGAGUCUGGUUUUCUCUCUGUUAAUAGGACAAAGUUUUCUUGCAGUAUUGAUCUGCUUUUGAUAAUAGAUUGUAAAGUUUCUUUACCUUUUAAGUUCCCUUUCAUAACUUUCUGUAGUUUACCUUUGAAAUCUUUUAGUGUCACUUUGGUUAAAUAAUUAAGUGAGUAUUGUUUCACAGUGACUGUGAUUCUGUUUGACCAAGUGUUUCCAAGUGUUUUAAAACCUUUUGAUAUCUUUGACAAACCCCCCAAAUCAAUUCUGAAUGAAGUCCUUUUGACCUCUAGCUAACUUUGGGGUGUUUCAGAGGUUCCCUGAAACAUCUCAAAGAGAGGUAUUAAACUAAUGAGGCUUAUUUUGGUAUGUUGAAUUAUGUCGGAAGCAUUGUCAAAUGAGUGAUGAUAAAUUUUCUUAGAUUAUAUUGUAUGGGCAAAUAUUAUUAAUAUAAAUG